GACAGGAGGGUGCAAACGUUGCUCGGAAUCAGCUAGGGCGUAAAGGGCGUGUAGGGCGGGAAGGAAAGUCAGGAUGUGAAAUCCCCCAAGGCUCAACCUGGGAACUGCAAUUUGAAACUCCCUUUCUUGAGUACCGGAGAGGAAAGUGGGAAAUUCCUGGUGUAGAGGUGAAAAUUCGUAGAUAUCAGGAGGAACACCAGUGGCGAAGGCGGCUUUCCUGGACG
rnacentral:rRNA from 1 species